rnacentral:rRNA from 1 species
CCUACGGGAGGCAGCAGUGGGGAAUCUUGCGCAAUGGGCGAAAGCCUGACGCAGCCAUGCCGCGUGAAUGAUGAAGGUCUUAGGAUUGUAAAAUUCUUUCACCGGGGACGAUAAUGACGGUACCCGGAGAAGAAGCCCCGGCUAACUUCGUGCCAGCAGCCGCGGUAAUACGAAGGGGGCUAGCGUUGCUCGGAAUUACUGGGCGUAAAGGGAGCGUAGGCGGAUAGUUUAGUCAGAGGUGAAAGCCCAGGGCUCAACCUUGGAAUUGCCUUUGAUACUGGCUAUCUUGAGUGUGGGAGAGGUAUGUGGAACUCCGAGUGUAGAGGUGAAAUUCGUAGAUAUUCGGAAGAACACCAGUGGCGAAGGCGACAUACUGGCCCAUUACUGACGCUGAGGCUCGAAAGCGUGGGGAGCAAACAGGAUUAGAUACCCUGGUAGUCCACGCUGUAAACGAUGAGUGCUAGUUGUCGGCAGCAUGCUGUCGGUGACGCAGCUACGACAUAAGACACUCCGCCGUCGGGAGGUACGGUCGCGAAGAAUUAAACUAACGAAAGGAAGUUAGACGGCGUGAGACGUACGCCGAACGGACGACGACGAGGGAGGUAGG